AUGUUACUCUCUCCUCCGUGGCCAUUAGAGACUGACCCAUGGUUCCUCUCUCCUCCCUGGCCAUUAGAGACUGACCCAUGUGUCCUCUCUCCUCCGUGGCCAUUAGAGACUGACCCAUGGUUCCUCUCUCCUCCGUGGCCAUUAGAGACUGACCCAUGGUUCCUCUCUCCUCCCUGGCCAUUAGAGACUGACCCAUGGUUCCUCUCUCCUCCGUGGCCAUCAGAGACUGACCCAUGGUUCCUCUCUCCUCCCUGGCCAUUAGAGACUGACCCAUGGUUCCUCUCUCCUCCCUGGCCAUUAGAGACUGACCCAUGGUUCCUCUCUCCUCCGUGGCCAUUAGAGACUGACCCAUGGUUCCUCUCUCCUCCGUGGCCAUUAGAGACUGACCCAUGGUUCCUCUCUCCUCCCUGGCCAUUAGAGACUGACCCAUGGUUCCUCUCUCCUCCGUGGCCAUUAGACACUGACCCAUGGUUCCUCUCUCCUCCGUGGCCAUUAGAGACUGACCCAUGGUUCCUCUCUCCUCCGUGGCCAUUAGAGACUGACCCAUGGUUCCUCUCUCCUCCCUGGCCAUUAGAGACUGACCCAUGGGUCCUCUCUCCUCCGUGGCCAUUAGAGACUGACCCAUGGUUCCUCUCUCCUCCCUGACCAUUAGAGACUGACCCAUGGUUCCUCUCUCCUCCCUGGCCAUUAGAGACUGACCCAUGGUUCCUCUCUCCUCCCUGGCCAUUAGAGACUGACCCAUGGUUCCUCUCUCCUCCGUGGCCAUUAGAGACUGACCCAUGGUUCCUCUCUCCUCCCUGGCCAUUAGAGACUGACCCAUGGUUCCUCUCUCCUCCGUGGCCAUUAGAGACUGACCCAUGGUUCCUCUCUCCUCCGUGGAACAUUAGAGACUGACCCAUGGUUCCUCUCUCCUCCGUGGCCAUUAGAGACUGACCCAUGGUUCCUUUCUGGACACAUCUGUUUUCAUCUUCACACAACCCUCACAGCUCUAUUUUUCCAGUGAGAUAUACAGAGCUAUUUUUCAAUGUCAAAAUGUACUAAUAUACUGUUACGGACCAAAAACGUU
rnacentral:lncRNA from 1 species